GUCCACGCCGUAAACGAUGGGCGCUAGGUGUGGGAGGUGUCGACUCCUUCCGUGCCGAAGCUAACGCAUUAAGCGCCCCGCCUGGGGAGUACGGCCGCAAGGCUAAAACUCAAAGGAAUUGACGGGGGCCCGCACAAGCAGCGGAGCAUGUGGUUUAAUUGGAUGCGACGCCAAGAACCUUACCAAGGCUUGACAUGGUCGAGAAAGCUGGAGAAAUUCAGUCCUCCUUCGGGACUCGAUCACAGGUGGUGCAUGGCUGUCGU
rnacentral:rRNA from 1 species